UGGGGAAUAUUGCACAAUGGGCGCAAGCCUGAUGCAGCGACGCCGCGUGCGGGAUGGAGGCCUUCGGGUUGUAAACCGCUUUUGUUCAAAGGCAAGGCACGGUCUUUGGCCGUGUUGAGUGGAUUGUUCGAAUAAGCACCGGCUAACUACGUGCC
rnacentral:rRNA from 1 species